GCUGAAAAUGAAACACUGAUCAAACUGUAAAUAUAAAUACAUUGCAUCAUAUAUAAACCAAGCUGAAGAAAAAUGUCUUUAUUAAAGUAGUUUUUGUUUUUGACCUCCACAUUGUGGCUCCAUACCUGAAAUUUUUAAAAACAAAUAUUAUAGUUAUGAUGAGUAUAGUUUGUGCAGAACAAGUGGUGAAGGUUGCUUACUGCUGUGACACAAGGAGAUAGCAGAGAUAAGAGGACCAUAAUUUCCUCUUUCAGGAAUAAGUGUUGUUCCUUUACCAGCCCAGUACAACCGAAUCUCUAAGAUAUUAUUGGUCACAUUUGCACUCACUGUUUUGACAACAGGCUUCAGAGUCCCAUUAGCCGCCUCUUUGAUAUUAAAAUCCCUCAAGAACAAUACUCCCUAACCAGGGAGAAAAAGUACAUAAGGAAAUGAACUUCAAUCUUCCAUGCA